UUUUUGAAAAACCUUUUUUUUUUUUUAAUUUGAGUAAGUGGACACACAAUGCUAUGUUAGCUUCAAGUUCAACGACACUUUUUGAGCCCUUCCUCUAAGGCAGAAAUACUCAAGACUAUUUCCGAUACACGUUCAAUACAUCCUGGAUAUACAACUACAGUUAUUAAACUUACUUAAUUCUCACAACAACUUUAUGAGAUAGGCCUUUUAAGGAACAGAGAGGUUAACUCACUUGGCCAGAAUCACACAGCUAACAAGCAUCAGAGCCACAUUUCAAAGCCAGUCCAGCAGUCUGAUGCCAGAGGAGUACCAUCUUCUCGAAGAGGAACACUGGAAAUAACCAUACAUCAGACACCUGAAGCAAUCAGGCCUCGGAAUGUAACACUAUUAAACCAUCUCAAGAAUUCAAGAUGGCGGGAAAGCUGAAGAGAAUAUGGACCAUAAACCUUUGCUCCAAGCCCUGACCCACCCAGCGCAAGUACCAAGUUUAUUCACAAAACACAAAGGGGUGUGGUUUGAUACUAUGUCAUUGCCAGUUUUUGAUAGCAGGCAAGCUUCAAAAAGUCCAUGCACAUCACCGCAAUACUUACCAACAACACACACACCGUUUGGAGGCCCUGGUACAAAUAUAUCUGCCUUAAUGAAUAGAAAAGGCAUCACAGAAUCUGAGAGCCACCUUCUCCUACUCCUGUGUCGGUAACAAGACGGGGAAAACCACCUGAGACAGGGACUCCAUCCGGGUCUGAAGUCUUAAGGGCGGAUCCAUAGAGGAACAUCAAUCCCAGUUUAUGGCGGAGGGCAGUAACUCACCCAGCAAUACUGCCAGCAAGAGGAAAGCUGAACAGUUAAUGACCAGGCUGGCCUUUGAACCUAAGGGGGAUCUUAAUAGACAGAACUAAUUAAAAUCAAUACUCAUGUGGUAAUCACAAAAAGAAGAAAAAAAAAGGGCUCAAGAUAAAUUUUUAAGUGGAGGGCAACAAGCAGUCUCCAUUCUUCAGGCCGAUCUUGGGAUCUGGUUUACCAGCAAAUGUGUACCAACAGAUAGUCUUUCUGGAAAUGCCUAGGCAGAGGUGGGAAAGUCAUCGUACACACGAAGCCCACCGGAAUCAUUUCCCGAGCCUCUGGAUGUGUGGUCAGAAGUGGUCAGGGACACUGCAUUUGUAAAGACGGGGCCAUGCUAACAUUAACUGUUCUGAGGCCGAAUACAGGAAAACUGGAAACGGACACCUCUGGCUGUGUGGCCUUGGAGAAUCUAUUUAAUUUCUCUAGGCCCCAGUUUUUUCAUCUGUAAAAUAAGCAGAGAAAAACAGAUGAUCUCCGAGAUCCCUUCAGUUGUGUGAUUUUGGAACACCGUAUCUCAGACAUGCAGCUAGGAGCCUAGAAGAGAUGUUCAAAAAGAACAAUACAAAUAAUGGGUCAUACCCUUUUUUAAAAAAAUAAUGUUUCAGGGUGCCUGGGUGGCUCAGUAGGUUGAGUGUCCAACUUUGGCUCAGUCACGAUCUCGUGGUUCGUGAGUUCGAGCCCCACGU